rnacentral:rRNA from 1 species
GAUGAACGCUGGCGGCGUGCCUAAUACAUGCAAGUCGAGCGAACGGACGAGAAGCUUGCUUCUCUGAUGUUAGCGGCGGACGGGUGAGUAACACGUGGAUAACCUACCUAUAAGACUGGGAUAACUUCGGGAAACCGGAGCUAAUACCGGAUAAUAUUUUGAACCGCAUGGUUCAAAAGUGAAAGACGGUCUUGCUGUCACUUAUAGAUGGAUCCGCGCUGCAUUAGCUAGUUGGUAAGGUAACGGCUUACCAAGGCAACGAUGCAUAGCCGACCUGAGAGGGUGAUCGGCCACACUGGAACUGAGACACGGUCCAGACUCCUACGGGAGGCAGCAGUAGGGAAUCUUCCGCAAUGGGCGAAAGCCUGACGGAGCAACGCCGCGUGAGUGAUGAAGGUCUUCGGAUCGUAAAACUCUGUUAUUAGGGAAGAACAUGUGUGUAAGUAACUGUGCACAUCUUGACGGUACCUAAUCAGAAAGCCACGGCUAACUACGUGCCAGCAGCCGCGGUAAUACGUAGGUGGCAAGCGUUAUCCGGAAUUAUUGGGCGUAAAGCGCGCGUAGGCGGUUUUUUAAGUCUGAUGUGAAAGCCCACGGCUCAACCGUGGAGGGUCAUUGGAAACUGGAAAGCUUGAGUGCAGAAGAGGAAAGUGGAAUUCCAUGUGUAGCGGUGAAAUGCGCAGAGAUAUGGAGGAACACCAGUGGCGAAGGCGACUUUCUGGUCUGUAACUGACGCUGAUGUGCGAAAGCGUGGGGAUCAAACAGGAUUAGAUACCCUGGUAGUCCACGCCGUAAACGAUGAGUGCUAAGUGUUAGGGGGUUUCCGCCCCUUAGUGCUGCAGCUAACGCAUUAAGCACUCCGCCUGGGGAGUACGACCGCAAGGUUGAAACUCAAAGGAAUUGACGGGGACCCGCACAAGCGGUGGAGCAUGUGGUUUAAUUCGAAGCAACGCGAAGAACCUUACCAAAUCUUGACAUCCUUUGACAACUCUAGAGAUAGAGCCUUCCCCUUCGGGGGGGCAAAGUGACAGGUGGUGCAUGGUUGUCGUCAGCUCGUGUCGUGAGAUGUUGGGUUAAGUCCCGCAACGAGCGCAACCCUUAAGCUUAGUUGCCAUCAUUAAGUUGGGCACUCUAAGUUGACUGCCGGUGACAAACCGGAGGAAGGUGGGGAUGACGUCAAAUCAUCAUGCCCCUUAUGAUUUGGGCUACACACGUGCUACAAUGGACAAUACAAAGGGCAGCGAAACCGCGAGGUCAAGCAAAUCCCAUAAAGUUGUUCUCAGUUCGGAUUGUAGUCUGCAACUCGACUACAUGAAGCUGGAAUCGCUAGUAAUCGUAGAUCAGCAUGCUACGGUGAAUACGUUCCCGGGUCU